rnacentral:rRNA from 1 species
CCAGACCGAAACCAGCAGCCGCGGUAAUACGUAGGGCGCAAGCGUAUCCGGAAUUAUUGGGCGUAAAGAGCUCGUAGGCGGUUGUCGCGUCUGCUGUGAAAUCCCGAGGCUCAACCUCGGGCCUGCAGUGGGUACGGGCAGACUAGAGUGCGGUAGGGGAGAUUGGAAUUCCUGGUGUAGCGGUGGAAUGCGCAGAUAUCAGGAGGAACACCGAUGGCGAAGGCAGAUCUCUGGGCCGUAACUGACGCUGAGGAGCGAAAGGGUGGGGAGCAAACAGGCUUAGAUACCCUGGUAGUCCACCCCGUAAACGUUGGGAACUAGUUGUGGGGUCCUUUCCACGGAUUCCGUGACGCAGCUAACGCAUUAAGUUCCCCGCCUGGGGAGUACGGCCGCAAGGCUAAAACUCAAAGGAAUUGACGGGGACCCGCACAAGCGGCGGAGCAUGCGGAUUAAUUCGAUGCAACGCGAAGAACCUUACCAAGGCUUGACAUACACGAGAACGGGCCAGAAAUGGUCAACUCUUUGGACACUCGUGAACAGGUGGUGCAUGGUUGUCGUCAGCUCGUGUCGUGAGAUGUUGGGUUAAGUCCCGCAACGAGCGCAACCCUCGUUCUAUGUUGCCAGCACGUUAUGGUGGGAACUCAUGGGAUACUGCCGGGGUCAACUCGGAGGAAGGUGGGGAUGACGUCAAAUCAUCAUGCCCCUUAUGUCUUGGGCUUCACGCAUGCUACAAUGGCCGGUACAAAGGGCUGCAAUACCGUGAGGUGGAGCGAAUCCCAAAAAGCCGGUCCCAGUUCGGAUUGAGGUCUGCAACUCGACCUCAUGAAGUCGGAGUCGCUAGUAAUCGCAGAUCAGCAACGCUGCGGUGAAUACGUUCCCGGGUCUUGUACACACCGCCCGUCAAGUCAUGAAAGUCGGUAACACCUGAAGCCG